rnacentral:rRNA from 1 species
AAUAGAUACCCAGGUAGUCCACGCCGUAAACGAUGAGUGCUAAGUGUUAAAGGGUUUCCGCCCUUUAGUGCUGAAGUUAACGCAUUAAGCACUCCGCCUGGGGAGUACGGCCGCAAGGCUGAAACUCAAAGGAAUUGACGGGGGCCCGCACAAGCGGUGGAGCAUGUGGUUUAAUUCGAAGCAACGCGAAGAACCUUACCAGGUCUUGACAUCCUCUGACAACCCUAGAGAUAGGGCUUCUCCUUCGGGAGCAGAGUGACAGGUGGUGCAUGGUUGUCGUCAGCUCGUGUCGUGAGAUGUUGGGUUAAGUCCCGCAACGAGCGCAACCCUUGAUCUUAGUUGCCAUCAUUAAGUUGGGCACUCUAAGGUGACUGCCGGUGACAAACCGGAGGAAGGUGGGGAUGACGUCAAAUCAUCAUGCCCCUUAUGACCUGGGCUACACACGUGCUACAAUGGACGGUACAAAGAGCUGCAAGACCGCGAGGUGGAGCUAAUCUCAUAAAACCGUUCUCAGUUCGGAUUGUAGG